rnacentral:lncRNA from 1 species
CUGCUAUCUAAUAUACCAAAACUAAUCUCAAAUUUUGAGUGAACAAAUAUACAAAAUCUCAAAUUUUGAGUGAACAAAAAUUAAGUAUGACUAACGAAUAUUUAAUGAGUGUUUAUGUAAUACAAUUCCAAGAUCAACAUUUCAGUCAUCCCAAAGAUAUAUCUCAAACAUAUACAAUAUGCAGUAAGAAAAUUACAUAAGUCUUGAGAGAAACUAAACAUAUCUAAACAAACGCAUUAGUCGAGUUUUAACCGAUUUCAACUCAAUAAAGAUCUAAAUUUAUUAAUAAUUUUUAUCAUAUCAAACCCAAAAUAUGUAUCAACA